rnacentral:misc_RNA from 1 species
GGAUAGAAUCAUCACAACCACUUCAAUCCAACACUUCAUACCAUCAAUCUACACAAAAAAUUAUGGGCAGCCUCGUGCGCUAAAGACGCUCCUGUGGUGCAUUUCCAAGACAAAAAAAAUAUAAACACCAAUGUAAUCAACCAUUUGGGAAAAACCAAGAAUUCCACAAAUUGCAUUCAUUAUAUAACUCUUAAUGAGAUAAUCAGUGGAACCACUUAAGUAAGCAAACAUGAACCACCUCGCAAUUUAACAAUACUCAAAUGACCUCAGAGUAUUAAAACUCAUACUCUUAACAAUGCAAUUUCAUCUCUCUAAGUAAUAUUGAAUAUACAUUUCUGCACAAAAUUUUUCAUCUUCUCUUGCAAACAGAAAGCUCAAG